rnacentral:rRNA from 1 species
AACGAACGCUGGCGGCAGGCUUAACACAUGCAAGUCGAACGCAUCCUUCGGGGUGAGUGGCAGACGGGCGAGUAACGCGUGGGAACGUGCCCUUCAGUUCGGGAUAACCCAGGGAACCUUGGGCUAAUACCGGAUACGUGCGUGAGCAGAAAGAUUUAUCGCUGAAGGAUCGGCCCGCGUCAGAUUUGCUAGUUGGUGGGGUAAUGGCCCACCAAGGCGACGGUCAGUAGCUGGUCUGAGAGGAUGAUCAGCCACGUUGGGACUGAGACACGGCCCAAACGCCUACGGGGGGAAGCGGUGGGGAAUAUUGGACAAUGGGCGCAAGCCUGAUCCAGCCAUGCCGGGUGGGUGAUGAAGGCCGUAGGGGUGUAAAGCUCGUUCGUCCGGGACGAGAAUGACGGUACCGGAAGAAGAAGCCCCGGCUAACUUCGUGCCAGCAGCCGCGGGAC